GUUAACCUACGGGAGGCAGCAGUGAGGAAUAUUGGUCAAUGGGAGAGAUCCUGAACCAGCCAAGCCGCGUGAGGGAAGAAGGCUUUCGGGUUGUAAACUUCUUUUCUUGGGGACGAAGAAAGUGACGGUACCCAAGGAAUAAGCCACGGCUAACUACGUGCCAGCAGCCGCGGUAAUACGUAGGUGGCAAGCGUUAUCCGGAUUUAUUGGGUGUAAAGGGCGUGUAGGCGGGAUUGCAAGUCAGAUGUGAAAACCACGGGC
rnacentral:rRNA from 1 species